CCUCCGUGAAGCUGCGUUCCCUCUCUCUCCCCCCCCCUCCUUCCACUUUUCGGCUCGGGAAAGUUACAAGAGUUUUAGUGUUGGUGGAGGGAGUGAAAUGGGAGAGUGUUGCUUUAAGGAGAAAGCUUGUGUGUAUUCAUUGAGGGAAAGACCGGGGCGGGGGGGGGAUGGCAGCACCGCACAUUCAGAGAAAAGGAGGCCGGCCCUGGGGGGCGGGCUGAGGCUUUCACGUGACUGACUGGCUCGAGGUUGUGCAAACAAGGCUGGGCUUCCCCUCCGCACGAAAUCUGGCCGCCUCUUCGCUUUAGCGCGCAGAAGGCGAAGCGCACGGGAGUCCAGUCCGGCUCCGAGCAGCAAAGCGGGAAAGAAGGCACCGCGCCGUCCCACCCCUUUCUCUCCCCCCCCCCCCAGAGAAAAAUGCCAGACAAGCCAUAGUACAUUCCUAAAGGAGGGCUCUCCCCUCCACGCUGCCCAAUAGCAAGCCGCGACCGUUCCUGCUAGCCAAUGGCGAGGCGACAGAGGACUUUUCCAUUCAGUUCUGCGCUACAUUUCGGGGGGUGGCGUUUUGCUGCGCCAGCCGGGCUCGGGGCAUCAGAGCGCCGGAUUCACGCCGGCCUGACCCUGAUCUCAAAUGCUUAGCGGCUCGCUCUGCAGAUCUUUCUCCGAAAAGCAGUUGUUGCGGCGAAAGAGAUGUCAGGUUAUAGGUUCCUCUCUCCGCGCCUCCCCAGUUGGAACCAGCGGCGAUCACGCGAAAAAGCGCGCUGGUUUCUAAAGAAGUCUCGUUCCUCCCAAGGCACGUGUUGACUUUUUGCAGAGAGGCAGUUGCAAGGCGAGGAAAGCUCCUGCUAAUUAUAAAAACCCCAUAAGGAUAAUUAAAUUGGGAUGGGGGAACUAGCUGGGAAUUGCAUUAGGGCUGCGAUCCGCAAACCGCUUCCUCCGGAGCAAACACUUAAAUAAAUCCCAGUGGAACUUCGACCUUGCUUGUCGACAUCAGAGAGUGGUUGCUGGUUUCGCGGUGUCCAGUGGUUGCUGGUUUCGCGGUGCAGUUUUAACCAUUUGCAGGCUACCAAUCCGCACCAGCCGCUAACGCAACGCAAGGGGUUUGUGGGUUGGUCUGAACGGGACCAUUUGUGCUCUGUGAGCAACCGCUUGCUGGGGAGAGGCUGUUUUAGUGACAGAGCGCGUGUUCAACCCUCACUGUCGCCAGAUAUGGCUGAGAAAGAAUCUUGCCUGAACCCUUGCAGAGGCGCUGCCAGUCAGUGUCGGCAGUGCUGAGUUAGAUGGACCAAUGGUCCGAAUCGAAUUGUUACAGUACCGAUGAGACAAUACACCAGUCGAUGGCAAACCUUUAUUCUGAAUGUGGCGGUGAUUUGGAAUAACUACCCUGCUCCAGUUUCACCUUGUCAGUCACUAAUGCGGAUUAAAAUGCCACCCACACACGCGAAAGCACGUAUUGGAAAUCAGGCUGUGGUAGUUACAGCACGUUAACCAGUCUCGAGUAAGGUAUCAGUAAUUACUGCCUGGAAUAAAAUUGGCGUGAUGCAUGUGGGAACUGGGAAGACAAAAACAAAAUACUGCUAGGUACAGGACUCGCGGGAUAAAGCCGUGUAUAAUUCCCCGAAGCAACAAUACCUAAGGGGUAUCCCAUAAUAGCAUCCCUUGGUUGGCGUGCUACCACCGUCCUCCUCUAAUUCUCUGCCAGCUUUUCAAGCAUCAAUAAAUUCUCAGUCCUAGAACAAGGUUUACUUCCGAGCUAACAUGACCAGGAUCAAGCUGCAAAGAAAACCCUUCCCGGGGCGGGGGUCUGUGGCCCUGCUCUGCCUUUUGCAUAAUUCCCCAUUACAGGCGCUAACCCCUCCCCGCGCCCUUUUCCUUUCCAAAGCCCUCGCCCUAUGCCGGUUAAAAUGUUGGUCCCCAAACACAACCUGGCGGCUCAAAUUUAACAAGCCCUAUCUUAAUAUCCUCCCCCUCCCUCUGCCCCCCUCUCCCUGUGGUCUGGUUAAUUUCAUACACAAGAGAUGAAUUACCGAAGGGAUCUAAUUGGCCUUGUUUCUGCAAUAUUGUGUGUGUGUGUGUGUGUGUCUCGGUGUAAAAGUCUCCUCUCGACGUGGGUGGUCGGAGCGGAGGACGUCUCCAAUUUGCCUCCUGGCUGAUGCGCACGAAAGAGCGCGGCCGCCUUCCUCGCGAGCACGUUGCCCCUGUCCUCCCUUCUUUACAUUGGUCCGCAUUGUUACCUUUAAUAUGCAUGGCCCGCGCAUGUAGCUUGCGCCUGGCCAGCAGGAUUUGUCAACUUCAAGGAAUCGCGAGGCUCCUCCUGCGGAUUUAAGGGAGACGGAGCGCUGCCUUUGUGUGUGUGUGUUAUCGGGCUCCGCGGGCCCGGCCUGCCUGCCCGCCGUUCUUGCUUUUUCCACGUGGCCUGGGAGAAUGGAAGGACGAUGCAAGGCCUGCAGCGGGCCCAGGCCAGCCAUCGCUCCAGCUGGCUUUUUCUUUCUCGCCUGGUUGCAGCGGGAUCUGCAUUUCAUUAGAAACCUUCCCUUGGCGCCACAACAAUCGCCCUUCCGAGCAACCUCGGUGCACCGGGACCAGCCACCACCAUAGAGAAGUCCUCCUAGGUGGCGAGAGAACUUCCAGAGUUUCGAUCUGUCCUUGCAAUGCCGAGGUCGUAAAGCGAGGCCUUGCAGCAUCCGGUUACAUUCAGAAAAAGAGACGACGUUGAAAUAAACCACCUGCCUUCACGUGGGGGCGGGGAGGGGAGAGGGAGGCAAGACGUGAAGCUGUUCAAGGAGUUGGCAUGAGUGCGUCCCCGGCCUUACUCAAUGGGAGUACAGAAACCCAUUUUCCAGGAAGAAAGCCCAGACUGUCCUAUGGAAGCUUCUGCAGACAACAGUUCCAUUGAUUUCUGAAGGACUUGGAACACAGAUUGGCUUCAUGUUUCAUGACGAAAACGUCCCAUCCUGUCGAGGAGACAACUGUUAAAUCCUAAACUGUAAGCGUCUUAAACGGGACGUCCAACGGAUCACCGCCACUACUAACGAGCAGCUACCCGUGGCUAGAUCACACACGCACACAGGGAUCCCUCUCUCUGUCUCUCGUUCUCUCCCCUAGCCCUGAUCACCACGACAGUAGAUUGCAAGACACGUCCGGAAAGAGCCCAUCUUCCCCCUCUGCUCACUACGCUUGCUCGGAAGCAAGCCCCAUUCUGACGUGCAGGGCCCCACAACAAUCGUGUUUGAGUCCCUCGCGAAGCCAAGAUCGAGCUACAAGCCGCUUACUCCAGAGUAGCCUCAGAGAAGUCGGGGGGGGGGGAGAGGAUGCUGCAAAGCUCGUGGGAAAAGAAGAGCCCCAAACUAAGUAACACGAAGUUUGUGUUCAGACAAGGAUUGCAAAUCAAUCAGAUCCACAACUUGGCAAACUCGCCUCCCCUUUUUGUUUUAAAUGCCAGUUAAAGGUAAUCCUGGGUGGUUGUUUUUUGUUUUUUUUUUUUUUGCGGGGCGGGGGUGAGAGAAAGCAACCCCAGCAGACACACACGACUUAAUCCUCCCUGAAACACAACAAAAUCCAACGCGCUGUCCAGCAAAUUUUUCUCCCAGGGAAACAAAUCUCUCUCUCUCCCUCUCUCAUUCCCGGGGAGGGGGACUCCUCGCGGGCGGAAGGCAGGGUGGCGACCCUAUCCAAGCGUGAAAAUAGGAUCCCCGAGACCUCCUUGGACGCGAAUUAUCACCGAUCAGUUCCGUCCUCGCCACCCCCAGCGGCAGCCGCCCUCCUCGCCCCCACCGGGAAACGAGACGCUGCCUGCCUGGGGGGCUGUGUGCUCCUGCAGUGACAGGAGCGAGGCGAGGCUGCCUCCCCUCCGCCUCCUCUCCCCCAAGCAAAAAGCCAUCCUGGCUUUCCUUCCUCUUGUUUCACCCCCCCCCCCGUGCCAGGAUUUGCCCUCUGCCAGGAGAUCUCUCUCUCUGGAUCCCCGCUCCCACCCAGGGGUGCCCCCCUUCCUGUUCCAUUCCCCAGCCCAGAGGCCAUUUUCCGUUGCAUCUCUUACUCACCAUCUCCCCGCUGAACCCCUCGGUGGGGCAGGGUGAGCUCCCGGUGGGGCUGGCCAAUUUCAUUCAGUGCCGUUGCUGCCGCCGCCGCCGAGGCAGAGGACUUCGAUAGGAGCACAUCGGUUUUCUUUUUUUCCCUUUUCCUGCUUGCCUUCAAAGCUCUCUUCUUGCCCGCCGCUUCCCCUCCACCUUCUCUCCCGCACCUCCUCCCGGUCUCCGAAAGGGAACAGAAAGUGUAAAAUAAUAAUAUAAUAAUAAUAAUCCUCCUAGGUUGCAGGCAUUCUGCAGAGUGCUGAGCGGGCUCACAAUUGCAUGCCUGUUUCUAUUAAGCGCUCCAUCGUCCUCUCCAUGUGGGUGGUCUGGCUUUCUCAAUAGGCAGGACCUGUCAGGGUCACGUGAUGGAUCCGAAAAACUUCACCCUUUUUACAAUAAACUCCAGGAAAGCAAAGUAAACCAACGUAACGUGCUAUCAGCGCAGACCUCCUUGGGUAAACAGGCAGGCCAGCUUCCCCGAGAUGGUCCCUGGAGCAGAUCCCAGGCAUGAAAUUGACAAAGUGGUAACAACAGCCCUCUGCCCCCCCCCCUUUCCUCCCUCCCUACGACCCUUUUCUUCUCCGCCUCUCUCUUUCCCCCUCUAUGUUCAUUUGAAAUCAUCACCCAUCUCAGCAGAACAUACAAAUCUUCUUUCAUUCUUGGGCAUAAUUCGCUUUAGCCUCGGUUCCUUUCUUGUCCUGUUGGGAAGCAGAAUAAAGUUGUUGGUUUUUGUUGUUGUUGUUGUUGUAAGAUGGGGGGGGGCAGGUGCUGGAAUGCAGAGCCAUUCUUAAAAUAAAUACAGGGUUGAAUGUUAAACGAAGAGAAAAAGGGGUUCGGAGUUUUCCCUCUGCUGAAAUGUUUACCCAUUCCACCUAGGGCUUGGUUUACAAAUGUUGGACCCUUCAGGAUUUAUUUAUGUCAAUCCUUGCAUUUUUUCCCUUCUUGUUCCUUGAAAGUUUCACUAGCAAGAAGUCUUUGCCUCGAAAGUGGCAAGCACACAAUGCAAAACAAAUUGAUUAGACCAAUGAUGGAGAUAUCACUGGUCUAAUCAGUCAUGACUUUGUCUGUUUUGUCAUUACUGGGUAUCUCACAUUUUCAGAUAGCCUUCUGUUUUCAGAGGUGGAAAAAGAAUAAAAACAGCCUAUGGCCUAUACUGGCAGCAACUGUGUAUAAUAGCAGCAUUAUGAAAUGGGUGGGGUUUGUUUGUUUUUAAAAGCACAUCUUAUUUAAUUGAUUCAAACAUGGGAAUCAGAACUGUCUUAUGACAACCACCAGUAACAACUUAUUAUGAAACCAAGAAGGAAUUGUUCCAGUAGUGCUUCAACUGUAUGUUUCCUGCUGCUACUGAACAGAACAUUAUUUGUCCAACAGGAGCAACAUCCUUAUGAUAAAAAAUCUCUCUUUGGCUCAAACGGAAAAAGGUGGUCAUCUCAGAAACACGAAAUCGUAAAGGAGCGUCUCCACCCCCAUCGUUCUGCCCGGACACUGAGG